CAUAUUCUGGGGUGUACGACACGCUGUCUGAGGCCAUGACCAACGAACAGUUCGGCAAUCGCUUCGUCGAUUCGUGGUGAGCAAACCCAUGACAACGAUGGGCAGCCUGAAGCGAAUCGCGAGCCCGGCCAGUCAGUACAGGCUCAUAGCCUGGGCGCGAUCGGCAUCCCGGAAAACAA
rnacentral:other from 1 species